ACACACACACACACACACACACACACACACACACACACACACAGUAUAUAUAGACGGUUAAUGUUAUCAGUGACACCUGUGCUUCACUUUCAGUAAGUCAAAAUGUCUGCUGGG